CUGGUUGAUCCUGCCAGUAGCAUAUGCUUGUCUCAAAGAUUAAGCCAUGCAAGUCUAAGUACACACGGCCGGUACAGUGAAACUGCGAAUGGCUCAUUAAAUCAGUUAUGGUUCCUUUGAUCGCUCUCACGUUACUUGGAUAACUGUGGCAAUUCUAGAGCUAAUACAUGCAAACGAGCGCUGACCUCCGGGGAUGCGUGCAUUUAUCAGAUUCAAAACCCAUGCGGGGUGCCUCUCGGGGUGCCCCGGCCGCUUUGGUGACUCUAGAUAACCUCGAGCCGAUCGCUGGCCCCCGUGGCGGCGACGUCUCAUUCGAAUGUCUGCCCUAUCAACUUUCGAUGGUACUUUAUGUGCCUACCAUGGUGACCACGGGUAACGGGGAAUCAGGGUUCGAUUCCGGAGAGGGAGCCUGAGAAACGGCUACCACAUCCAAGGAAGGCAGCAGGCGCGCAAAUUACCCACUCCCGACUCGGGGAGGUAGUGACGAAAAAUAACAAUACAGGACUCUUUCGAGGCCCUGUAAUUGGAAUGAGUACACUUUAAAUCCUUUAACGAGGAUCAAUUGGAGGGCAAGUCUGGUGCCAGCAGCCGCGGUAAUUC
rnacentral:rRNA from 1 species